AUAGUUUAGGUCUGUGUUAGUAAAUUUGGUUAUUGACCAAAUCAAGAAUAAUUAUGUCUUACUUUGACUGGUUCUUUAGUGUCCUAAACUCUAGGUUAGGGCAUAAAACGUCAGUACUAGGAAAGGUUGUAGAACCUACCUCCCUAUUGUACACAUGAGCUAACUGAGCACAGCCUAACUGGGAUUGGGCAAGUGAGCCCUGCAGGGUACAGUAUUUGAGGGCACUUGCUGGUAGGACCACGCAUGUGCAGGGCCAGCCUGGAGAGUGAGGACUUACUUUGUGUCUUGGUGGGAGAAGUUUAGUACAAUAAAGAACCAGUCAAAGUAAGACAUAAUCAUUCUUGGUUUGGUCAGUCACCAAGUUCACUCUCUGAGUACUGGAGUUCUGUUCUCUGAGUAUUUGAGACCCCUCAACUUGGUGUGAGCUCUGAGGCUGAUGCCCACAAAGACAAAAUGGUUGGCCAGCUCGGGUGUCUAGUUGGGACAUAGGUAGGAUUAAUACAAGUUCUCCAAUUGGAGUCUAGAAUCUUGCCCCUACACUAGGCUUCCUCCACCUUUGCCAUCGCUCCAUAGAAAUGUUCUGAAGGCAGAGUGGUCAGCCCCUUGCCUGGAUAAGACCGUGAGCCCGUUUUGGUCACGGCAUCAUGACCACAAGAGCACAGUAAGACUUCAUCUGCAGCAAGGUUAUCACACUGUUCAAGUAGCGGGAAAUGUUUACAAGUUGAAUGCACAGGUCAACAAGGGAGAAGUUUUUCUUCAUAUCGAAGGUCAAGAAACAGCUUAAAAGUGCCUUUAUUUUCUUCUUCAAACGAGGAAUUUGGAGCCCCUUCUGGAUCUUGUACAUCUGCCACCUAUGACGAGCCCUGGACCAGAACCCAGAUGACCGCCAUCAAGGCAGCCUCCUUCACAUUGUCCCAGCCACUGCUAGUUACAGGCAGAGUGAAGUUAAGCCCUUACUGAGGCUUAGGAGGUCUUCUCUGAUGCACCUGGCCUUUGGUCUCACUGGGCAAAGUUGGUCUCCCAUAAACAUCCUAUUCCCUGUCCCCACACAGCAUCCAGCACUAGGCCCUGGCACAUUGCAAGACUCAUGUGUUCUCCUCUCCUCUGCUUAUGGUCUCCAGUGGAGCUGUACGUCUCGUAGAGCACAUCCACAUAGAGUGAGUGUGUUGGGAGAUUAUGCCGGGAAAUGAAGAUAAACAUCAAUUUACUUGAGCCUAAAAAUAAAAGUUUCAUGAUAAGAUAAAUCAGUAAUAUCAAUCUUGCCCUGCAUUUAAAGGUAGAUGAAUGGAUGAGUCUAAGCAGUGAUACUCAAAAAACAUUCAACAGAAUCAGGGAAAGCAGAAGAAUAAUUUUGACCAGUACUUGGUUAAGGUGGGGGUGGGAGGGGAAGGCUGAACAAGGAAAUACAGUUCAGAAGUGCUUUUUUUCUUUCUUCCUUCCAUCUGAUUUUUCACCACAAGCUUGGCUUAAAGUCUGCAUGACUCAAGAAACUCAUAUUCUAAGUCUUGUUGCUUCAGCCUCCUAUGUUAGUGAUUAUAUGUCUUAGUCCCCACAGUCUGAAAUUGUAAAAGUCAAGAAGUCUUGGAGGAGGAUGUGAGUUGAGGGGAUAAUCGCAAGCUGCCUGAGGUUUCUAUCCUUGACCGUAGAAAAGCAAGCCCUACAAAUGUGUUUGCCUUAAGACACCCACAAAAGCUGUAUAUAAUGCCAGACAUUGGAAUCAUACCGGUUCAGAAGAACUGCCUGGGCCACCAGUAGUAAAACCUCAGAGUGUCACAUUAUAUACUGUUGUUCAGCAUGUGAAGCACUUCAAUGAUGUCGUAGAAUUUGGUGAAAAUCAAGAGUUCACUGAUGACAUUGAGUACUUGUUAAGUGGCUUAAAGAGCACUCAGCCUCUAAACACGUGUUGCCUUAGUGUUAUUAGCUUGGCUACUAAAUGUGCCAUGCCCAGUUUUCGAAUGCACCUGAGAGCACAUGGGAUGGUAGCAAUGGUCUUUAAAACCUUGGAUGAUUCCCAGCACCAUCAGAAUCUGUCCCUCUGUACAGCUGCCCUCAUGUAUAUACUGAGUAGAGAUCGUUUGAACAUGGAUCUUGAUAGAGCUAGCUUAGAUCUCAUGAUUCGACUUUUGGAACUGGAACAAGAUGCUUCGUCAGCCAAGCUACUGAAUGAAAAAGACAUGAACAAAAUUAAAGAAAAAAUCCGAAGGCUCUGUGAAACUGUACACAACAAGCAUUUUGAUCUAGAAAAUAUAACGACUGGGCAUUUAGCUAUGGAGACAUUAUUGUCCCUUACUUCUAAACGAGCAGGAGACUGGUUUAAGGAAGAACUCCGACUUUUGGGUGGUCUGGAUCAUAUUGUAGAUAAAGUAAAAGAAUGUGUGGAUCAUUUAAGUAGAGAUGAGGAUGAAGAGAAACUGGUAGCCUCAUUAUGGGGAGCAGAGAGAUGUUUAUGAGUUUUAGAAAGUGUAACUGUGCUUAAUCCUGAAAAUCAAAGCUACUUGAUAGCAUAUAAAGAUUCCCAACUUAUUGUUUCAUCAGCUAAAGCAUUACAACAUUGUGAAGAACUGAUUCAGCAGUACAACCGCGCUGAGGACAGCAUAUGCUUAGCCGACAGUAAGCCUCUGCCUCACCAGAAUGUAACUAACCAUGUGGGCAAAUCAGUGGAGGACUGCAUGAGGGCCAUCAUUGGGGUGUUGCUCAAUUUAACUAAUGAUAAUGAGUGGGGCAGCACCAAAACAGGAGAGCAGAACGGUCUCAUGGCACAGCGUUAAACUGUGUGCUUCAGGUUCCAAAGUACCUACCUCAGAAGCAGAGAUUUGAUAUCGAGUGCUGGUAA